rnacentral:lncRNA from 1 species
GAGGGAGCGGACAACAGAUUGAACGCAGGAGAAAGCCGAGGGGGAAGGGGAAGUGGACGAGAGCGCAUGCGCUAAGUGACAGCCGCGGGGACGACCGUACACAUGCAAAGGGAGGAGAACGAACUAGCUAGAAAGCGCAUGCGCAGUAGAGAUGUGUGACGACUGAUGAGACGUAAAGCGCGUGCGCCGCUGAAAGUCAAGCUGUCUGGAUACGGGUAUUGGCUAAGGAUCUCGAGAACGCGUGCAUAGUGCUAGAGACAGAAGAGAGCGCAUGCGCUAGAGAAGUUCCCUGUCUCUUGGAUCUCAGCUGGAAAUGCUUCUCAAAGAGGGACAAAAACUAUAAAAAGGAGGGGAAAACACCCCAAGACCCCUCCUUCCCAUCCGUCUCUGGAUCUGAGAAGACAAAAGAAGCAGCCGCUGGACUCUGGAGGAGAGUCCUGAUGUGAAGGAUUUGGUCAGUAAUGCUGCUGGAAGCAUAUGGUACAGUGAAGCUGUCCACGACCAGCGUAAAUCUCUCUGAAUAGGAGACAGAGCUUUCUUUGGGUCUGUUCCAGCCGGUGGAACGUACUCCCACAGGAUAGAAAACCCAUAUCAAACACCAGCACUUUCCAUUCUGGAUCGGUGAGUAGCGAUCCAUCUAUGGGGAUCGAUGUAUUGCCUCUAGUCUAGAUAUGAUAAAUUGAUCCCUG